AGGGUACCCUUGGUGAACGUCGGUGUUGUGCUCGGGGAGCUGGGUGGCGGCGGACACCCCACCGCGGCAUCGGCGGUGAUCAGGGACAUGACGCACGUGCAGACCGCGGAGCGGCUGAUCGAGCUCCUCAAACA
rnacentral:misc_RNA from 1 species